rnacentral:rRNA from 1 species
ACUGCUGCCUCCCGUAGGAGUAGGGGGAAUCUUCCACAAUGGACGCAAGUCUGAUGGAGCAACGCCGCGUGAGUGAAGAAGGUCUUCGGAUCGUAAAGCUCUGUUGUUGGUGAAGAAGGAUAGAGGCAGUAACUGGUCUUUAUUUGACGGUAAUCAACCAGAAAGUCACGGCUAACUACGUGCCAGCAGCCGCGGUAAUAC